rnacentral:rRNA from 1 species
AGACCCGAAACCCGGUGAUCUAGCCAUGGGCAGGUUGAAGGUUGGGUAACACUAACUGGAGGACCGAACCGACUAAUGUUGAAAAAUUAGCGGAUGACCUGUGGCUGGGGGUGAAAGGCCAAUCAAACCGGGAGAUAGCUGGUUCUCCCCGAAAGCUAUUUAGGUAGCGCCUCGUGAAUUCAUCUCCGGGGGUAGAGCACUGUUUCGGCUAGGGGGCCAUCCCGGCUUACCAACCCGAUGCAAACUGCGAAUACCGGAGAAUGUUAUCACGGGAGACACACGGCGGGUGCUAACGUCCGUCGUGAAGAGGGAAACAACCCAGACCGCCAGCUAAGGUCCCAAAGUCAUGGUUAAGUGGGAAACGAUGUGGGAAGGCCCAGACAGCCAGGAUGUUGGCUUAGAAGCAGCCAUCAUUUAAAGAAAGCGUAAUAGCUCACUGGUCGAGUCGGCCUGCGCGGAAGAUGUAACGGGGCUAAACCAUGCACCGAAGCUGCGGCAGCGAACGUAUCACCCAAGACAACUUUACGGAGUUGACGAUUGACGGAGCGAAGCGACGUCAAAGCGUUCAUUAAAGUCGAGUUGGCUUAGGGAUACGUUCGUUGGGUAGGGGAGCGUUCUGUAAGCCUGUGAAGGUGUGUCGUGAGGCAUGCUGGAGGUAUCAGAAGUGCGAAUGCUGACAUAAGUAACGAUAAAGCGGGUGAAAAGCCCGCUCGCCGGAAGACCAAGGGUUCCUGUCCAACGUUAAUCGGGGCAGGGUGAGUCGACCCCUAAGGCGAGGCCGAAAGGCGUAGUCGAUGGGAAACGGGUUAAUAUUCCCGUACUUGGUGUUACUGCGAAGGGGGGACGGAGAAGGCUAUGUUGGCCGGGCGACGGUUGUCCCGGUUUAAGGGUGUAGGUGUGUGUUCCAGGUAAAUCCGGUUCACUUUAACACUGAGGCGUGACGACGAGGCACUACGGUGCUGAAGCAACAAAUGCCCUGCUUCCAGGAAAAGCCUCUAAGCAUCAGGUAACACGAAAU